UACGUAGGGUGCAAGCGUUAAUCGGAAUUACUGGGCGUAAAGCGUGCGCAGGCGGUUUUUAAGCCAGAUGUGAAAUCCCCGAGCUUAACUUGGGAACUGCAUUUGGGACUGGAAGGCUAGAGUACGGCAGAGGGGGCGGAAUUCCACCGUGUAGGCAGUGGAAAUGCGUAGAGAUGUGGAGGAACACCGAUGGCGAAGGGCAACCCCCCUGGGCCUGUACUGACGCUCAUGCACGAAA
rnacentral:rRNA from 1 species